rnacentral:misc_RNA from 1 species
CUAGUGCUCUCACCAUGGGUACACCCAAUUCCCUCUCUCAAUAUUUACCAUUGCUAUUUAAACUGCUAUUACAUUAUUAAUAAUUAAAUUUAACAUAAUUUAAAUGUAAAAAUUCUAAAAUAACUAAAAAAAUAAUUUUAAAUACAUUGUAAGAGGGUGUUUCAGUUGCAAAAUUAAUUAUGUUGUUCAUUGUAAUUCUUGUUUGUUGAAAUCCUAUGCAGGAGUCAUUGGAAUUGAGAACAGCAUAACAAUGAUAAACAAUG